rnacentral:rRNA from 1 species
UACGUAGGGUGCAAGCGUUAAUCGGAAUUACUGGGCGUAAAGCGUGCGUAGACGGUCAUGUAAGUCGGGUGUGAAAGCCCCGGGCUCAACCUGGGAAUUGCAUUCGAGACUGCAUGGCUAGGAUGCGGAAGAGGGAAGCGGAAUUUCCGGUGUAGCGGUGAAAUGCGUAGAUAUCGGAAGGAACACCAGUGGCGAAAGCGCCUUGCUGGGUCUGCACUGACACUGAGGGACGAAAGCUAGGGGAGCGAAAGGG